UCAUUACCGAGUAAAAACAAACCAAUAAAAAAAAACAGCUGGUAACGUUAAAAACAGCUGUUCAGGUGGGCUCAUAGAAUUGGAACUGUAUAUGAAAUUUUGCGCUGAACUUAUUAAAAUGGCGCCCUGUCAGGCUCAGAACGUACUUCAUGCCUAUGACGUAACUGAUCUAUCUUGCUCCGCUCUAGAAUCUUUGGUCUUCAUUCAUCUGUGGUAUCAAAAUUACUAUCAACGCAUGGCACGGAAUGUUUUAUUUAUCAAAGAAUAACAGAACGACAAAACUCGUUU